GGUGGGGCAAGGGGGUCAGGUCACGUCUUGACAUCCAGCAGCGGCAUCCGCUUGUGCUGGUAGCCACUCUGCCAGCCAUGUACCACCUGUCGGGCAAGAGACCACACCACAAGGUUGGGCUGUGUUCUCUGGGAGUCUGCAGCACUCAGUUACAGCCCAAGUAAGCAGAACCAGGCUCUGGUUUCAGUGUGGACGAGUAUGGCUGGGAACAGGGCUAACCCCCACCUUGCCUCAUUCUCCCCCUGGCGCCCAAGUGCUCACCUUGGGGUCUCCCAUGUCAGAGAGCAGCUCCUGCUCAGCCUCAUGCAGUUCCUCGGCUGGGUCAUAGCUGUACAUGGGGAGCAGGUGAUGGCGCAGUCGGUCCACCCUGGGGAGCAGGGGAGGGGACUCAGCCUAGGAGGCCCCCCAACCCUCAUCAAACACCUGGCUGCCCCAUCUCGCCUCCCUCUCCCAGGCAGGGGCACUUCCAGUGGGUGCCUUUUGGGACACACUAUAGUUCCAAGAAUACAACCCUGAUUCUACAAAGGGACUUUCCCCAGUGAGUAACCUCAGGCUGGGGCAAGGAAAACAAAAUUCAGGCUUGUAUCAGGAUGGCUUCUUACAGAAAACUCAGAGCCUAUGAGCAGGAAUUUCAGAAUGGGUGUGGGGAUAGGGCAGGUGGGGAGACAGGGACACUCACCGCUUUUUCUUCUGUACAUACAUCACCUGCAACAGAGACACAGCACUGUGGGGGCUGCUGAGCCCGGGGAAGGCCCACAAGCAGAGAGAGGCCCACCUCUACACCCUUCACUCCCUCAACAGGACAGUGGGGACUCUGUGCAGACUGGACCAGGCCCACCCAGCCCCUGCCUUAGCAAAGCUGUGGGUGUCUGUGUGUAUAUGAGGGCUCCUUACCACAGCCACCACCACCCCGACCAGGGUGAUGAGGAAGAAGGGCCCCAACACAUAGCCCACCAUGGAGUCGCUGUUGGCCUGGGGGGCAUUGGGCACAGUGGUGUUACUCAUGACAUCAGCAGCCGGAGGGCUGGGUGGUUGGUCAGCAUGGGCAGUGGCACUUCGGGAGGGCGCCUCCACUGGGCUCCCUGGGGAGGAGGAAGGGAGGUUAUCAGUUGCACCCAGGUGACAUCCAGACUCUGGAUCCCUCCCCCAGAGCUGGAGAUCUAUGAAAACUGGUCCCAGGUCAAAUCCUGGGAGGAGGGAUCCUCCAGGUAGAUGUACCGGGUAUAACCCUCCAGUGAGUCUUGGCAAAUCCUGGCAGGAAAGGGGAUCAAGGGAAGGCCUGGAUCCAGGGCUGAGUCCUGCCCAACUCCUAUCCCUAUAUCAGGGCGGGGCCCAGCUAGAGACAUUUACAAGUCUCAACUUCUGGGGAAAGAAGUGCAGGUUUCCAGUGCCUGCCCCAGCCCUUUUGGGGCAUUGGGCUGCCAGUACCUGUCCAGUGGAGCAAAAUGGAUAAAUGAGGUCUAAAGGAGGGACCUGCACUGCAGCCAGGGGUGAGGUGGGAGCAUCUGAAGGAGUUCCGCUUCCAUUCUGGUCCAAUCCCACUUAAAGCGAUGGGCUCCAUGCCUGAGUUCUAUGCCCUUGUCCCUGGUGUCACCUCAGACAUACAGCCCGAACACCCUCUGCCCCAUCGGUUUCGUGUGCCAGGGUGGACACGAGUGGGUAAAGCUGGAUUGUAUCUUCAAGAUGAUGUCACCUUCCUCUUGUCUCCACCCAGGGCUCCGCCCAGGUCCCUCCCCUCCUGGCCUGGGCUGACAGGCAGAGGUGGAGAGGGUCAGUCCCCAUCGACAGAAGCAAAGAGAUCGUCCUGGGGCGGUUUGCACGCUGAUGGCCCAAGGUCCGCGACCCAGGUUCGCUUGAGUCUCUAUCAGAGGGCAAGCCCGUGUUUUCCCACUUUCCUGCCUUCGCUCGAGCGGUUUUCCCACCAUCUCAGCCAGUAAGAAGCCUGUUGGUCUCCUGUGGGAGGCUGGACCUGGGGCCAGGUCGGCCUUGGGCUCCCACCCCACUCUGAGCUCAAACUGUUCCUUCCAUUUUGGGACCAGGGGACAGAGCUCACUUAAUGCUGCUCUCCCACUGAAGACACUCACCCAUUCUCUGCCUGCAAGCCCUACCACUACACAACUUCAAAAAUGGCUCCACCCUUCCUGAUUCCACCCCACACAGAGGAAGGCAACUUCUUGCGACGCUUCCUUAUUCUGAAAGUGGCUCACCUCUUUCCCCUUCCAGCUCCUUUGUGCCCCCUAGAAAGCCUCCCUGGCUAAGGGGGACAGGCCCUCUCCUCAGCACUGGGCACUGACCGUCUAACCAGGGCUCUCUCUGGGCACCUGGUUGCAAGGAUGGCAAGAUACAACAACAUGCUGAUUUUAAUAGCCUCUGGCUUCUCCACUGCAUUUCUCACCUGAAUGCCCUGCACACCAAAUCUUCCAUGGGAUCACCCUUGACCUCUAGGGCAAUUCCCAAGAAUCCAGCAGAGGAGUGGGGGAAACCAAAAGACUGACAUGAAGGACUCAAGGGAAACCUCUGGAAAGAAGACACCAGACACUAAAAGGGAUAUGUGUGAAAUACUGGUUUUUAUUGGUUGGCACAAGAUUACAAUCUACAGUUUCAAUGCCCUUCCCUCCCACACAGCUCAAAUGGAAGGAAACUGAUUAACACAUAGAAAGGAAUGGCAGGCUCACAGGUUUAAGCAUUUGUUUUUACAAAAAGGAGUGGGAUAUGGGGGUGGUCAAGUUUUACGGGUAGUAACAACAUUCUCUCCAGAUGGCAGGGGGUAAGUCUGCCUGUCCUCCGUUGCUGAUACCACAUAAGGGACAUAUUAGUAAAGUAGGGAAAGGGUUAUAUGUGUGGCUGGCCUGUUCUUAAGAGAGGAAGGUGGGAUAGUAUCUGCUGUGUGCCUGUCUCAGACCAAACCUGGGGCUGAACCAGUGCCCCUUUCUUCUGGGCCCUCCUCCACAACCUGACUGUACUGCCAGCCGCACCCAUGGGAAGGAGGUGUGAAGGAAGCCUGAGAACAUCUGCCUCGAGAAAAGGAAACAGGAAAACUAUUUCCUUCCGCCUUCUCUGGACCAAAUUCCACUCCCCUCAGCUCCAGAGAACGCUGCAAAAAUCUUCCUUAGGAACGCUGUGAAGACACGGGGAAGAGGCCAGCCCAGACAGGUGGUCCUGAGCGGGCAAGAAGAAAAGCUUGAACUUUCCAUGCAGUACCAAGCAAGAUUGUUUUGGAAACACGCAAACAAAAAAUGGAAACCAACACCAUAUACCCACAGGUUGGGUAGCUCCCAAAUCCUGGACAGCAUUUGGAUUGGAGGUAAGGACAAUUUUACUCCAGCUCCUUGUUUUAUAACCCACACCAGGUGCCAAGAGGUUUAAGGACCAAAACUGACCUCUCUUUCCCUACAAGCACCAUUCCUUGGAUUCCCAGUUUUGUUGAGCUCAUUUGGGGUCAUCCUUGCCAUCCUCUUCAAAAAUGACGCAGCCUCUUGGUGGUUCCAUUUUCUAUCCCUUUCUACAAUUAUGAACACACUGUCUAAACAGGAGAUCUAUAUAUGCUGUCAUCCUGCAGCCCAAGAGAUUAGGUGAUCGAAUGAUGAGAAGGCCAACUUACUUGCUUUCCUGGGUGGUCCUGAGGGAAAUGAACAGCAGCAGAGUUCUGGUGGGACAGAGCAGUCUAGUCUGAGCCACUGUGUGAUUCCCCAGGGGACUGGUCCCUGGGUACAUGGGUCCCUGGCUCUGUCUCAGUUCCAGAGACAUUACUCAACUUGGCCUUUUAAGCCUCAGCUAAAACAUAUGAGCAUGAGGGAAAAGGGACAAGAAAUACUUUUGUCCUCUGGAAAAACGUAAACUCAAUACAUUUUGGCUACUUAGGCUCAAGUCACAGGGUUCCCUGGAAACACUUGUUGAACCUGGCCAAGAGGAGACUGUAUAUGGAUGGCACACCUGGAAAAGGGGAGAAAGCACACUAGUUCAUCUCUUUUAUAAGUGGAAUGGUCCCAGGGAUGUUAACCUUUCUGAUGCUGAUGGUAGAUGAGUGGAGUGGAGGUAAUCCUGUGAGAAAACUCCUUAAAAACCCUUAAGCUGUGUGGAGACUACACAUCACAGCUGAGCAAACCAAGGUGGGGCCUCACUGCCACCUCAGAGCCCAUCCCUGACCACAUCAUUGGACAGGAUGGAAGACAAAGUCUUUGAAAUGGAGGCUGGGCUGGCAAAAGUAAGUAUGAAGAUGCUACUACUGUCCUUCCACUUCCUCUCUCUGAUACACCUAAGAAGGUGAGAGACACUUACUUCAAUUCCAUUUUACAACAGUUCUCAACAUCCUGAAAUACUCUUGAUUUCCUUAAUUAAGCACAGGGAAAACUGGUAAGCUAUCUUUCUAACUGAAAUUUUACUUAUUCUAACCACCAACCUUUUCUUUGAUUAUCAACCAGUUUGAUAGUCUUCAGAUCAUAAAACAAUAGAACAGACCUGACAUUUACAAAACUGUACUAUUUACUUCUUUUACAGUAGAGUUGACCAAUCACUUUUCUAACUAUUAAUGCAACACCAUGCCACUGGGCCCUAGACUCUGAUGUUUCUGAUCCCUGAGCAACACAUCUAUGUCCAUUCACAGAUGGAAGUGAAAGGGUGAGAUUCUCAGAGUCUAAACAAAAUUCUGGUAGCAAAUUGGAUUUCUGAAGGGAGAGUCCUCUUAGAAAAUUCUGAGCAAAAAUGCUCUCAGUCACCAGGGACGGGGUGAGCGGGCAGGUUUCAGUCUGUGAGCUAUAUAGCUUAGGUACCUGUUACUCCCUUCUGAACUCCAUGUUCUUGGGAGGACACAAGCCUCUUGUUCAUUAAGCAAAGGCCCUCCAAGUCUCCUUUUUACUUCAGCACUUUGGAAACUCUCCAAGACUUAACUUCAGAUCUGGGGAGGUUCUAUGUAGAACAGACCUAUCCCUUCUUAUUCCUGCUCCUGGGUGUCUCCAUAAUCAGCCUCUACCUUCCCUGGCAUAAGUCGUAUCUGUUAUGCUGCAGGAACUGAGCAACCAAAGCUAGAUAUCCUUUGGACCACUGAUUAGUGACACAUUUUCUCCACAACAAAGGGAGGUUAAAGACCAAGGUUUAACCUGAGAAACUUUUUUUUUUGGCAAGACAAUAAAGAGGUUAAAGAGGCUAUGUGGAUCUGUCACUGCUUUAGCUUACCAUUUUCAAUUUAGCACCAAAGUGCUCAGGAAGACAGGCUCAGAUCAGGACAACUUCUUAAAAGGGAUUCACAGGCAAUCUUACUGGCAAAAUGAUUUUCCAAAGCUGAGCCACUUGCCCCACCCUACAGGGAGGGGAGUAGUCUUAAGGCCCAGCAUUGGCAUUGAGGCAUCUUGCUUUUUUCCCUCAGAAUUCCACAAAGGCUUAAGAGUGAUCUAAAUGCCUGGCUGGAAGCUCAAGUCUAGGAGAGCUAAUUUACUGCACUGUUGAGAUAUUCUCUGCAAGGUAGUCACAGAUAAUAAGCAAUUUAGUAGAUAAUUAAUCCAGACAAGAAUUAAUGUUCUCUGAAUCAGUGAUUAAUAUAAUCUUCACAUCUGGCCUGGCUGGGAGGCUUGGGGGCAGGAAAGGGAGGGUGGAAGAAUGGGUAGCACAUCAAAAUGGUGAACAAAAUGACAAUGCUGCUGUUUGUGUAUCCUUUAAAGCCUCUAUCCAGGGUUUUAAAUGGCGUUUUGUCUGCUUCCUGAUAGGAAGUCAAAUAAGUUUUAGUAGUAAGAACUGGGGAUAAAAACGAAAGGAAACCUAGAGUUAUUAAACAACUGACUGCUGGAGGAACAGAAGCAAUGACUUCUACCUUCUAGGUAGUAAUCUUACUUUUUUUUUUUUUUUUUUGAGACGGAGUCUCGCUCUGUCGCCCAGGGUGGAGUGCAGUGGCGCGAUCUCGGCUCAUUGCAAGCUCCGCCUCCCGGGUUCACGCCAUUCUCCUGCCUCAGCCUCCCGAGUAGCUGGGACUACAGGCGCCCACAACCGCGCCCGGCUAAUUUUUUGUAUUUUUAGUAGAGACGGGGUUUCACCGUGGUCUCGAUCUCCUGACCUUGUGAUCCGCCCGCCUCGGCCUCCCAAAGUGCUGGGAUUACAGGCGUGAGCCACCGCGCCCGGCCCCGUAAUCUUACUUUUUUGGCUAAAAGCACUUUCUUCAGCAUUCUGAGUUAACAUGGGUUCCCUAUAAGCUCCCCUCCCCAGGUGGACAGUCUUAUUUUCUAAGACAAGCUCAAACUCACCAAAUUAUCACCGUAAACAAAGCUUCAGGGAAGAGACAUAACUCUUACUUCAAAAGCUUCAGGUCAGAGACAGCCAAAAUCACAUGACUGCUAGCCUCAGCUCAAGUAGUGUGCCCAAAUCAUCACAAAAUGGGAUUCUCUUCCUAUUAAUUUUUUUUUUUUUUUUUUUGAGACAGAGUCUUGCUCUGUCGCCUAGGCUGGAGUGCAGUGGCGGGAUCUCGGCUCACUGCAACAUCUGCCUCCCAGGUUCAAGCGAUUCUCCUGCCUCAGCCUCCCGAGUAGCUGGGACUAUAGGAGUGUGUCACCACGCCUGGCUAAUUUUGCUAUUUUUAGUAGAGACGGGGUUUCACCAUACUGGUCAGGCUGGUCUUGAACUCCUGACCUCGUGAUCCACCCGCCUUGGCCUCCCAAAGUGCUGGGAUUACAGGCGUGAACCACCGUGCCUGGUCCUCCAUUUAUUAAUUUAUAAGGGGACUAGGAGGACAAACUAUUUGAUUAAUUUGAAGGUGAGAGGUAUCAUUUUCUCAGAUGCUCCAACUAGGCUUCUCACAUCCCUCAAAGGUUAUCAGCUAAAGACAAGAGUUUCUGAGGCUAAUGCAAAAACAUGGUCAAAUGUGAAACCACCCUUUUAGAGGCAGGGUUUGUGAAAGGCUGCUGGCCUCCAAAGGACAGCAUGCCUAAACUCUCUGGGCUCCCAGGACCUGUGGUGAUCUCAAGUCAACCUGAUGCACAGAUAACAGUAUCUUUUAGGGAUUGCAGCCAAUGCUCCCCAAUUCACUUUUUUUUGUUUUAAUACCUUAAAAUAUCAAGUGUUUCCUUUUUAGGUGAUAUUCCAAGUGACACAGAAACACAGCUCUCCUGGAUGGUGAAGUCUCCGCUGCAAAACUCACCAAACAGCACAGAGGAUGACUCUGGGGUCCUCUCCCACUUGCUCCAAGUUAGGUGGGUGCCCUGAUGAAGGCAAGGCUGAGUCACUAACAUGCACAGCUCCACAUCCUGGAAGCCUCUGCAGCCUCGAGGAGACAGGCUCUAUCCAACAGGACUCCGAAUAAAUGCCUGCCGCCUCAACUGGGCAGUCUGACCUCUUCCACCGUCUUUAAGAAACAGAAGGGCCAUCUGCAUUAUUUAAUCACCGUUCAAUAAUGUCCUCCCUCCCCAUAGCUGCUUGAGUUAACUGUCUCACAAGUGUCCUAUGUUUUGUAAAGAUGAGGGUUAUUUUCUGAAAUGCAGAUGAGACUAGGAUAAAGCUGUAUUAUCAAUUACAGCCAACUCUCAUUUCUCUUAAAGCAAAAAUUCAUCCCACUGUGAUUUCUCCAGGUAUUUCCUUUAAUUCUAAAUCCACCCUUGAUAUUAGAGAAUAUUAAAAUCACACAGUUGUGGCAAAAAUCA